UGGAGCAAGGGUGGUUAUCAAUAUGUAUCAAUAACCCCUUACUACAGUGGUUCUGUUGGUAAAUUACAUCUUCUGUCAGGCCGUAGUUUUUCCUUUACAGACCCCAAUGCCACCCUGGAAACCCUGCCGGACCGACCUCCCUGCCAUCAGAACACCAGAUGGUCAGAGAAGGAUGACCAUAUCUAUUGGGAGAACUGUGGAGGAGAAAAACUGGUUGUUUUACUAAACAACAGUGAAAGAAUUGUUAUUGACUGGUCACCAAGGGAUAUGCCACGAAGAACUGCAGUGGUCGGGGCAGAAACUGUAACCAACAUGAAGCCUUGAAAUGUUUAUAAGACUUAUAUAUGAAGCCUUUUGGAUUUCUAUUCUUCUAUACAUGUUUAAACAAAUGGACAAAAUACAUCAAAAAUUCAGAACUCAAACGGUUAAUCUACCACUGUGGAGUUAAAAGUCCUCCAGUGCAUCUGAGGAUCCCUUCCAGGCCUCCUCAGGCGGGAAACUGCAAAGGCCACCUUUCUAACUCUGCAACCCAAACACAAAGGGGGAGAUGUAAGAGCAGGAACUGUGAGCUGGCUGUUUCCUUGAUGCUGAAUGGUGUGGAGGAAGGAAGGCCGAGUUCAACCUGUGGAAAGCCGCUGCUCAGCACCCGAGAGGUUGAAGUAAACAGCCAUGUCUCCAGUGACCGCAGUCAUGGAGGAGGACUGGGAAUGUUUUUUGAAAAUUCUGAAAAUACACAGAUUGGGGAGUAAACAUCCAUCUGUUUCCUGCCCUUGAGUUCCCUCCUUCCUCUUGAGUUGUGCAAAUAAAAGCUAUGUGCUCACCAAGGACAGGGCUCUUUGCUCUUAGAAGCAUCG